UAAAACGUGAAGGAUAACGUUGCGUCAGCAACGGCCCGUAGGGCGAGGCGAAGCCGAGUCAUCCUGCACGACCCACCG
rnacentral:sRNA from 3 species